GACGAACGCUGGCGGCGUGCUUUACACAUGCAAGUCGAACGGUGAAGGUGGAGCUUGCUCCGCCGGAUCAGUGGCGAACGGGUGAGUAACACGUGGGCAACCUGCCCCUAACAUUGGGAUAACUACUCGAAAGAGUAGCUAAUACCGGAUACGAAGUCUGUAGGCAUCUACGGAUUUGGAAAGUUUUUCGGUUAGGGAUGGGCCCGCGGCCUAUCAGCUUGUUGGUGAGGUAGUGGCUCACCAAGGCGACGACGGGUAGCCGGCCUGAGAGGGCGACCGGCCACACUUGGACUAAGACACGGCCCAGAGUCCUACGGGAGGCAGCAGUGGGGAAUAUUGCGCAAUGGGCGAAAGCCUGACGCAGCAACGCCGCGUGCGGGAUGAAGGCCUUCGGGUUGUAAACCGCUUUCAGCAGGGAAGAAGCGAAAGUGACGGUACCUGCAGAAGAAGCACCGGCUAACUACGUGCCAGCCGCCGCCGUAA
rnacentral:rRNA from 1 species